AGUGAACGCUGGCGGUAGGCCUAACACAUGCAAGUCGAACGGCAGCACAGUGAUUGCUUGCUCUUACGGGUGGCGAGCGGCGGACGGGUGAGGAAUACAUCGGCAUCUACUCUUUCGUGGGGGGUAAAGCAGGGGAAAUUACGAUAAUAACGCAAACGUGCUACGUGUGAAAGCAGGGGAUCUUCGGACCUUGUGCGAGUGAAGGAGGCGAUGGCGGAUUAGUUAUUUGGCGGGGUAAAGGCCCACCAAGGCGACGAUCCGUAGCUGGUCUGAGAGGAUGAUCAGCCACACUGGAAUUGAGACACGGUCCAGACCCGUACGGUAGGGAGCGGAGGGGAAUAUUGGACAAUGGGAGGAAGCCUGACCCAGCCAAACCGCGUGGGUGAAGAAGGCCUUCGGGUUGGAAAGCCCUUUUGUUUGGAAAGAAAAGCAGCAGGUUAAUACCCCGCUUUUCUGACGGUACCCAAAGAAUAAGCACCGGCUAACUUCGUG
rnacentral:rRNA from 1 species